GCCCAAAGUCGCACGUGCCCCAUGGGUGUCCGCCGAUCUUCAUUAUGGUGAAGAAACGGUAUGGUACCUGGAACUAACCCCUCCAGUCAGUUUGACGGCCUACUGCCAGACUGAGGACAUCUUGAAGCAACGACGGUGCGGGCCUUU
rfam:Bacillus sp. VT-16-64 NODE_235, whole genome shotgun sequence.